GAAAAAAAGAAAAAAAAAAAAAAAAAAAAAGAAAAGCAGGAUUUGAAAAUGUUUCUAGAAAAAUCAUUAAAAACAGUUGUAUGCCAGACAAUCCUCCUGCUCCUUAUCACAAGAUACGGUUUAAAUUGAAAUAGGAAUAUUUUCAACGCAAAGAAAGUUCUUAAAAGCUAAAACCGUUAAAAAUUCUUUUUAUAAAUAAAACAAAAAUAUUUGGAAACUUCAGAGAGUAAAUAAAUAACAAUUGAGAGCAGCAUGCAUGCAAUGGAUAUGUUGUAGACAAGUUUUUCCUCGAGUGAGCUGGAGACAGUGGAGAUUUGCACUUGAAUCCAAAACAGAUGCUUCCACUUUUCACCUGAAAAUGCCAAAUUCUACGUGUCCUAAUAUAAGAUAAUGUUGAAACAUUAAAAUACCACUUAUUUUCAUCAGCUCUACACAAGAAUUCUAAAACACAUACACAGAGCCACACAUGCUCACAUAUAUAUAUACCAUAUAUUCUAUACACAUAUUUGUUUGCAUUUAUUCAUGGUUGAAUAAUUAAAUUUUAAUUUUAUAUUUAUUUAAAUUGACUUUAUGCGAGCAAAUUGCAGCCUGAAAUUUGAACGGUUGGACGAAUUUUUUAGAGUUAGCUCGCUCUAGGAGCAAUUGGAUAAGAAAAACAAUACAAAAUAGCCUUCAACUGCUUUAAAAAGAACUUCCCCUGAAUGAACAGUUAACUAUACAAUGUGAUUCACAAGUUAAAAGCAUUUAUCAUCUAAUUAACAUAUAGAAUAGGGCUUUUUUUAGCUCGUGCCAGAAACUAUUUAUAUUUGAUAACAAAAAAAGUAUAUAAAAUUUGUAUAAUUUUGUAUAUAACAUACAGAAUGUACAUAUAUACAAAAGAUAUACAAAAAAAUAUAUUUUUUCGGCUAUUUAUUGAAAGCGGCUAUAUAGUAGCAUUUUUCCUCUAAUAAAUACAUUUUGAAGAAAAAUAAAAGUUGUGUUCGUGUUGGUCUCUUAUCAACUAGAGUAUAAAUCACAGUAAAUAGCAUAAUUUUAAAUCUAUUUAUAUUAAUAUUUUUUAAAAAAUUAAUAUAUGUAACUGAAUAUGAAAUAAAUAUUAUGAAAAAAGAAAUUUCUUUUUUUCAGAAUUUUUUUUUAAAAAUGUAUUUGUCCAUGAAAUUUUACAAGUUUUUGAAAUUUUUUCGAAAAUAAGUUUUUCAAAAAUCAAAAAGUGGUUUUGAACACUUUUUCAAAAUGUUCCAAAAUACUUUUUUCCUCACUAACAAAACUACAAUAUUUAUGUUUAAAGGGAAAUACAUGUUCAAACAUAAUUUGAAAUACCAUUUUUCAAUUUAAAUCUAAAUGAGUAUUUUUUUUCAAAAAUUACAAUUCUUAUCUUCAAACGCCUACUUAAAAUUCUGUAUUUUUUCAAGUGGAAAAUCUUUUCCUGUUCUCACAUUGGCACAGAUAUUAUAUUUAGUAUCUCUUCUCUCUUGAUUAUAUAAAAGUUUUGAACAUAUAUAAAGAUCAAAAAGGAUUAAAAAAGAAUUAUUUCCUUGACCAGCUAUAAAAAUUAACUUACAACAGAUACUUCAAGCUAUGAAUUAUUCUCACAUAUAUAUGAGAAUCAAUUCCUAUUAAAGCAGAGUUUCUUCCAAUAAAUAAAUUAAUAAGACAAACAUCUCAAAAUUUAUCACCUGCUGUAUCCCAGUAGCAACGCCAACAAAUAAAAAUCAGUUUAACUACUUCAAAAUUAUUAGAAAUCACAAAGUAGGAGCGCCAUAGAUAAAUUCUCAUGCGAUGGAAAUUAUUAAUAUUGUUACCUUUUAGAAUUGCUAGACUUGACAUAAUCAAAGAUAAAUUGACAGAAAUUCAUGAUUAAUUUGCAUUUUUGGAAAACAGAAUGUAUAUGUAAAUGCUAAAGAAUAACCGAAUAAACAUGUGUAAUUGGCAAUCAAGUCAAAAAUAAGAAAGAGAAAGUGAAAGUAGUCAACAAAAAAGUUAAAAGUAAAAAGUUUAAAAUGAUAGAAACUAAAAGAACUCAAUUAUAUCCAACAGAAUGUAUAUCUUAUAUACAGCAAAUUAAAUGAAAGAACGGUUUCAAGAUAAGACUUGAAAUUAAUUAACUCAAAAAACAAGGAUUCAUUUUCGAUACAAAGUUUUACCGAAGUACAAAAUUUGUCAAUGCUCUGCUUAAGCUUUGGCAGCUAAACUUCAAGUUCAAUGAUAUAAAUUGUGUAGAAACACAGUAAACUUAAUUAGGUAUAAACGUGCGAGAAGAACGUCGACAUUUUAUUCGAAAGCAUCCAUACACUACAACCUCAGAGGAAAAGGAAAAGGAAAAGGCAAGAUCGAGAUUAGGGAAUUAUAUAUAAAAUGAUAGCUAGAAGUGGAAAUUAAGUCGUAAAUGCAGGUUUUAUAAUCCUCUAAAGAUACCAAAAACAUGCCAAUUCCAUGCAAACGUACCAUGCAUAAGUAUUUGUCACUGUUUCUCAAGAAUCAUCUUUAGCAGAAUUUAUCAAGACGUUGAUGUUGCUUAAUGCUGUAGUGCUUUAAUUUGAUGCUGAAUACUUCUGUUUUCCUUCUUCCUCACUAUUAUUUUCUCACCACCUUAGCAAGAGUACUUUAUAUAAUAUUCUCCUGCUUCCUUCACAUUACAAAGAAUUUAUAUAGGCUCAUGGCUGUACUCUUAGGCUGUACUUUGCCCAACAGUGGAGUAACUACAAAAAUAAAGAGGACUCAGCAACCCACGCGUACAAGCCCUACCCUACCAAAAGAAAACAAAACACACACACGAAAAAAAAACUCUCACGUUUAAUUCUAAUGGUAUAUACUAAUCAAGAUACUCCAAUAAGAAAAAGAAUAAAUGGAAUUAACAAAAUGAACAGUGGUAAAAAUAGAAAAAGGAGCAUGUGUAAACGGUGUGUUGCUUACGAAAGAGUUGAAAUUCUUGAAAAUUGCUGGCUACAGAUAUUAGCUAGAUUCCUGCAUGGUCUUGGAUGAUGUUUCAAUGUCCUUUAGUGCGUUAUAAU
rnacentral:lncRNA from 1 species